rnacentral:lncRNA from 1 species
CUUGUCUGUCAGAGUGAAGUUUUAAUGCCCAUUAAAGAAAGACAACAUAAUCCCAAAUCCUUGCAAUGCAUUGCCUAGUGUCUUUUCUAGAGGCGAUUAAAUUUUAAUACUAAACUUCAAGGAGUAAUAAAACCAAGAAGUGGCACAUGGGAAGGGAGCGACGACAGACUUCUUAGGUCUGGGGAAGAGAGAAAGUAUUUUUGUGUCUUUGCCCUGACUCACCGUGGCCUCUCAUGGAAUAAAAAUGUGGAAAAGUGUGGAAAAAA